rnacentral:tRNA from 1 species
GGUUUUGUAGUCAAAUAUGAUAUUAAAUUGCAAAUUUAAUGGUGAAGAUUAUUCCAAGGCUU